rnacentral:rRNA from 1 species
UACGAAGGGGGCAAGCGUUGCUCGGAAUCACUGGGCGUAAAGCGCACGUAGGCGGAUCGAUCAGUCAGGGGUGAAAUCCCAGAGCUCAACUCUGGAACUGCCUUUGAUACUGUCGAUCUGGAGUAUGGAAGAGGUGAGUGGAAUUCCGAGUGUAGAGGUGAAAUUCGUAGAUAUUCGGAGGAACACCAGUGGCGAAGGCGGCUCACUGGUCCAUUACUGACGCUGAGGUGCGAAAGCGUGGGGAGCAAACAGG